GGUUCCCGUGGAACCCUUACAAUUUUUUUUAUUAUUGUUAAUAGCAUGAAUCAAUAAUAUUUUUUUUGGCAUAAGGACUUGGAUCAUUGAUAAUACAUGUAGUAACUAAAAUUGGAUUCUUUGAAUAUUUUUCUUUUAAGAUUAGGGGUCAGCUUCAUAAAAGAUGAGGCAUGAUUCUACUUAGUCUUCACAAUCUUAUUCCAUUUUUUAAUAUUUUCAUUUUUCAUUUUUUGGGAUAAUGCAACACAUUGGAAGUUAUUAUACAGCAAAUAACAUAUUAAAAAUAACAAAAAGCAAUAUUAGGAACAAAAUAAUAUAGUCAGUAUUUCAAAGGAGC
rnacentral:lncRNA from 1 species